rnacentral:rRNA from 1 species
AUUGAACGCUGGCGGCAGGCCUAACACAUGCAAGUCGAACGAGUGGCGGACGGGUGAGUAAUGUAUGGGAAACUGCCUGAUGGAGGGGGAUAACUACUAGAACCAGUCGAUAAUAACGCUUACAAUCGGAUGUGCCCAGAUGGGAUUAGCUAGGAGGGGGGGUAAAGGCUCACCUAGGCGACGAUCCCUCGCUGGUCUGAGAGGAUUACCAGCCACACUGGAACUGAGACACGGUCCAGACUCCUACGGGAGGCAGCAGGGGGGAAUAUUGCACAAUGGGAGAAAGCCGGAUGCAGCCAUGCCGCGUGUAUGAAGCGGGCCUUCGGGUUGUAAAGUACUUUCAGCGGGGAGGCGUUACCUGCAGAAGAAGCACCGGCUAACUACGUGCCAGCAGCCGCGGUAAUAC